rnacentral:rRNA from 1 species
AACGAACGCUGGCGGCAUGCCUAACACAUGCAAGUCGAACGAGACCUUCGGGUCUAGUGGCGCACGGGUGCGUAACGCGUGGGAACCUGCCUUUAGGUUCGGAAUAACUCAGAGAAAUUUGAGCUAAUACCGGAUGAUGUCUUCGGACCAAAGAUUUAUCGCCUUUAGAUGGGCCCGCGUUGGAUUAGCCAGUUGGUGGGGUAAAGGCCUACCAAGGCGACGAUCCAUAGCUGGUCUGAGAGGAUGAUCAGCCACACUGGGACUGAGACACGGCCCAGACUCGUACGGGAGGCAGCAGUGGGGAAUAUUGGACAAUGGGCGAAAGCCUGAUCCAGCAAUGCCGCGUGAGUGAGGAAGGCCUUAGGGUUGUAAAGCUCUUUUACCCGAGAUGAUAAUGACAGUAUCGGGAGAAUAAGCUCCGGCUAACUCCGUG